rnacentral:rRNA from 1 species
GGGACGAACGCUGGCGGCGUGCUUAACACAUGCAAGUCGAGCGGUAAGGCCUUUCGGGGUACACGAGCGGCGAACGGGUGAGUAACACGUGGGUGAUCUGCCCUGCACUCUGGGAUAAGCCUGGGAAACUGGGUCUAAUACCGGAUAUGACCUGCUCUCGCAUGGGGGUGGGUGGAAAGAUUUAUCGGUGCAGGAUGGGCCCGCGGCCUAUCAGCUUGUUGGUGGGUAAUGGCCUACCAAGGCGACGACGGGUAGCCGACCUGAGAGGGUGACCGGCCACACUGGGACUGAGACACGGCCCAGACUCCUACGGGAGGCAGCAGCGGGGAAUAUUGCACAAUGGGCGAAAGCCUGGAUGCAGCGACGCCGCGUGAGGAUGAAGGCCUUCGGGUUGUAAACCUCUUCAGCAGGACGAAGCGCAAGUGACGGUACCUGCAGAAGAAGCGAACCGGCUAACGUACGUGCCAGCAGCCGC